GGACAGUGAUGAUUUUUAAUGAUGUCUCGUUCGUCGUAAUAUAAGCUGUGACAAGUUUAUUUGACGACCAUACUGUUAUAUCACCACCCAUAAACUGAGUCC
rfam:Arabis alpina cultivar Pajares chromosome 6, whole genome shotgun sequence.